rnacentral:rRNA from 1 species
GACGAACGCUGGCGGCGUGCCUAAUACAUGCAAGUCGAGCGAAGUUUUUCUGGUGCUUGCACCGGAAAAACUUAGCGGCGAACGGGUGAGUAACACGUAAAGAACCUGCCUCAUAGACUGGGACAACUAUUGGAAACGAUAGCUAAUACCGGAUAAUAGCAUUAACUGCAUGGUUGAUGUUUAAAAGUUGGUUUUGCUAACACUAUGAGAUGGCUUUGCGGUGCAUUAGCUAGUUGGUGGGGUAAAGGCCUACCAAGGCGACGAUGCAUAGCCGACCUGAGAGGGUGAUCGGCCACACUGGGACUGAGACACGGCCCAGACUCCUACGGGAGGCAGCAGUAGGGAAUCUUCCGCAAUGGGCGAAAGCCUAACGGAGCAACGCCGCGUGAGUGAAGAAGGAUUUCGGUUCGUAAAGCUCUGUUGUUAGGGAAGAAUGAUUGUGUAGUAACUAUACACAGUAGAGACGGUACCUAACCAGAAAGCCACGGCUAACUACGUG